AAAGCUCCUUAUAAUUGUUUUACACCAGGCAAGGACGGAAACGGAAAUUUGAUGUCAACUUCUUGCGAGGUAUACCCAGCCAUACCCGAUUAUCAGAAGUGGAGAUAUGGAAGGUCAAAAAUCUUCGUAGACAUAGGAGGAAUUGAACAAGAAGCAAGAGAAAUAGUAAACGUGAAAUCUGGAGCGUGCAUGGAUGUUAAUGGCCGUGGUGGAAAUGGUGACAUUUCUGCAUAUCGUUGCGAAAAUCUGGAUGAUCAGUACUUCUACUUCCGCUCUCGGGGUAAGCUAAUGGGACAUGGAAGACUACAAGUUGAGAAAUCUGGAUAUUGUCUGGACGUGGAAGGAGACCAAGGACGUGGCAAUGUUUUAAUAGACAACUGUGAAGACGCUGCUGAUCAGCAUUUCGAUUUUCAUGAAAAUGGCGAAUUAGUUAACAAAAAGUCCGGAUUGUGCGUCAAUAUUGGAG